rnacentral:rRNA from 1 species
UACGUAGGGUGCGAGCGUUUAAUCGGAAUUACUGGGCGUAAAGCGUGCGCAGGCGGUUUCACAAGCUCGAUGUGAAAGCCCCGGGCUUAACCUGGGAAUGGCAUUGAGGACUGUGGAGCUCGAGUGCGGCAGAGGGAGGUGGAAUUCCACGUGUAGCAGUGAAAUGCGUAGAGAUGUGGAGGAACACCGAUGGCGAAGGCAGCCUCCUGGGCCGACACUGACGCUCAUGCACGAAAGCGUGGGGAGCAAACAGG